rnacentral:rRNA from 1 species
UACGUAGGGGCUAGCGUUGUCCGGAAUCAUUGGGCGUAAAGCGCGCGUAGGCGGCCCGGUAAGUCCGCUGUGAAAGUCAAAGGCUCAACCUUUGAAUGUCAGCGGAUACUGCCGGGCUAGAGUCCGGAAGAGGCGAGUGGAACUCCUGGUGUAGCGGUGGAAUGCGCAGAUAUCAGGAAGAACACCAACGGCGAAGGCAGCUCGCUGGGACGGCAACUGACGCUGAGGCACGAAAGCGUGGGGAGCAAACAGG